rnacentral:tRNA from 1 species
AUAUAUGAAGUAAAUUUUACAAUUAAUUUCGACUUAAAAUAAGACUUUAAAUAGUCCAUAUAUU